GUUUCCACUCAAAGAGUCUGUGGGCACUAAGGGCGGGAUUACACUUCCUACGUAGGCUCUCCAUAAAAGGAAUCUGCCCCUAGGCCUGUCGAAGAUGCUAACUGUUGAGACUGGCUGCUGAAUGCCUCAUAGUGAAUGUGUAACUGGCAGAAAAUCCUACACCUCUCAGCCAUGCUGUCUGUCUCUCAUUAACAAAGGCUCAACGCAAUACAAGUCUUACUGGCAGCAGAUAGAAUAGGCCGACACACUUCAACGAGUCUCAGGAUAUUUUAAUCGGCUCACCAACUUUUUGAUCUCUGUGUGAUGUUGCGUGUCCUCAAUCUCUGAGGAUAUAAAGUUGGCUGAAAGUUUUCUUAGUGGUGUGUAAAAGUGUGGAUGUGUAUAUUGUUUGUUCCGGAACCACAUGUCUUCAAUUGGAUAUCUAUAUCUCAUUCUGAUAUUCUUGUGCUGAAGAAGAGCAGGGUCACCUAUUAUGCAGAAGAAGUAUGCCUGCGUUAAGUAUGUACACUCACGGGUAACUGUGUAUUACACAAGUAAAAUCGAGCUUAAGUGGCGGAGAUCACUACAUAGUUGUGCCGUGUGUGAUGUUGCUCAGUUGAAGAAGUUGGGCCUACCCUGUGGAGCUAUACAUUAUGGGAUAUGUACAGCUGUUUCACUACCCUUCCCUCUCAGCCUUGUCAACUGUAAAAAAUCCACAGGCACACCAGCAAAGAAGCCGAUCCAAAGAGUUCAGCCCAAAGUCAUCUCACAGCCAGCUGUGUCCAAUGCGAAAGAAGACAGCCUGCAGAGCAUAUUACGAGAUGAACAUCCACGCGAGAAAGACACAGAGUCGAACAGCCGUCCAGUCAUUGUGCCCCACUCGACAGAGGACAAGGAGAAUAAGCCCAAGAGGCGUGACUUGCCAACACCAAGGACUAGUGUUCACAGUAGUGCCAAUAUUCCCAAAUUUUACUUCCCAAUGGGACGACCACCCAAAAUUGACACCACAGACUCUGUGUUACAGAAUGUCGCUCAGGAAUUCUCUAACUUGGAAGGUGGAAAAGCUUACAAGCAACAAAUGGGCCUUAUAGCAAAGGCUUGUGGUGUUCCAUUCUACUGGAAGUGCCCGCUGUUCCGAGGAUCAGGGGGAGAUAAGCAGGGAUAUAUUACCUACCAGAUGUUUGCCUCUAUGUGGAAGAAGUUGAUGGAGAGUUACCAUGAUGAGGCCUCACGGUUUGUCAAACUACUGGCAAAACCCAGCUGUAACUACCUUGAUGAAGACGACCUUGUGCCCCUUGUACAGGAUGUUGUAGAAUCUCACCCAGGUCUUAGUUUCCUCCAAGAAGCUCCAGAAUUCCAUUCUAGAUAUAUAAAUACGGUGAUAGCAAGAAUAUUCUUCAGUAUCAACCGGUUGUGGACAGGGCGGUUAACGGUGCCGGAGAUACGACAAAGUAAUCUACUUAGAACUUUAGCGUUACUUGAAGACGAGGAGGACAUCAACCAGAUAACGGAGUACUUCUCCUAUGAACAUUUCUAUGUGAUCUACUGUAAGUUCUGGGAGCUGGACAAGGACCAUGACUUGUUCAUAGACCGGGGAGAUCUGGCCAGACACAAUGAACAUGCGUUGUCAUCACGGGUGAUAGAAAGGAUAUUCUCAGGGGCAGUGACGCGGGGUGAGAACUUCAAGGUUGGUCGAAUGAGUUACCCAGAGUUUGUGUGGUUCUUGAUAGCGGAGGAAGACAAGAGAAACCCAACCAGUGUGGAGUACUGGUUCCGCUGCAUGGACCUGGAUGGGGAUGGUGUUAUCUCCAUGUAUGAGAUGGAGUACUUCUAUGAGGAACAGAUGCAGAAGAUGGAGGCAAUAGGAAUUGAGAAACUACCAUUUGAAGACUGUUUGUGUCAGAUGCUGGAUCUAGUUCGACCAAAACACAAAGAGCAGAUAACCCUGAGAGACCUCAAGUCUUGCAAGAUGACAAACAUUUUCUUUGACACAUUCUUCAACCUAGACAAGUUCCUGGAACAUGAGCAAAGAGAUCCGUUUGCUAAUGUGAGGGACCCUGAGACAGAUGGGCCGGAACCGUCAGACUGGGAGAAGUACGCUGCUGAGGAAUAUGAGAUUCUUGUAGCAGAGGAAGGGGCCAAUGAGCAAGAAGAAAUACAUUAUGAAGACGACUUUGAACCAGAGGAUGAUGACAGUCUUGGAGAGGAAAUAAUUCGUCUGGCUGAUGUACCACAACGUAAAACCUCACCGGUCGUUAGACAAAGCCCAGCAGAUGAUAUUUAUGAUUUUAGUACUAAAAACCUUGGAUAUUGACAGUCCAAGGGAGAUGACUCUUGUUUAUGGCAUACAUGAAGUCACAGCACAAUCAAAGGGGGGCAACUCAUCACUGAUCCUAGUCCAGUCAAUGUCACAAUGUUUGUAUUAUGAUGUGGAUACUUCUGGUCUAAAAUGCAUUUUCAGUGAUCUUUAUUUGUACAGAGAAUCAACAAUUUCUGCUUCAGAGAUCUAUAUUGAAGCAUGUGAUAAUCAAGGCAUACAUUGUCCCUGCAUGUAGAAUAAGAAUAUAUUGAUUGCACCACCUUUUAAAGGUGCACACAUGAUACACAGACGGUCCAUUGCUAUUCUGGAGAGAUUCCAGCUUUAUCCUUGCACAUUUAGCAAAAGAUUGGAAAGCUUUAACAAAUGUAGCAUAUUGUAGAUGGCAAGGACAGACCAUGACGGUGUCCUGAAUGUUUGCGGGUAUGGAAAUUAGCACUAGCUCGGACCUGUUUUGUUAAAGUUAAACCAAGGGCUAGGAGAAUUGCAAACAUUUUAGGGGAUGUUGCUUUACAUUAUCGUUGGUGGGUUAGUAGACAUUCUUGGUUAAUUUCCAUCCCUGUGUCUGUAUCCUAGUCUUACUGGAACACAAUGUAAAGGCAGUUUACUUGAGAACACACACACCCAUGAAUUAUGUGUAGGCACUAAUGUGAAAGAUAUGAAAGAUUUCACUGUUACCAUGUUAUGUUAUUUUGUAUGUAACGACUGAGUUAAGGCAAUCCAGAAAUCCGUCCCGUACAGAGGUGCUGCAAAACCUUGCUAUGAAGUGGGAGGCACCAGGGCUGCCUACAGACAGUAGUCCAGGAUGAUAACCUGUACCUGGUACAAGCUGGUUUGACAUGGAGUAUGUGUAAAUAUGUCAUAUUAGCCAGUAACCAGCAACUGAAGCAAUGUGAUAAUGUCAAGGGACAUAACUCAUGACAGAUUACUGUAACAAGACAUUCUAUUUGUUGGUAUUUGUGGAUGUUAGGUGACAAUUUAUUUUUGUUAGUUCUCAUUAUUUUAAGCUGGAGCAUUGUAGUUCUUUUGUUUGGGGUUCCUUUUUAUGUGAAGUAUACAGGCUUAGAUGUACCACAUUGUCACGGAUGUGAUGUAGGUACACUGCAAGCUGUGUGGACGAAUUGUGUCAGCACAUUGUUUGAAUAUCUGAAGAUACAGGUUUGAUUCUUGUUCUUUAAUCCCAUGAUGCUAUCCGCCUGUUGUCAUACUGUCACAAAUCAAAGAAGCUGUUUUUUCAUCUUGCAAUAGAGUUGUAAAACUAUUUGAAGCUGUAUUUUGUUCUCUCAAGAAUGUCCAUUUUAUAUCUUGUGUAAAAUAUUUCUUGAGUGGUGGCCAAUGUAUGGUUUACUUCCUUCCACACGAGGUAUUGUUGAGUAUAAGUGGGAAAUUGUUCUGUGGGCAUGUGGCAUGUCUCUACUGUGUUCUUUGAGUUAAUAUUCCAGUGUAGUGUAUAAAGUACACUCAGCAGGUGGAGAAUCAUUCCCUUGUUGGCAAGUUGUACAUGCUCCACACUUCAUAGAUUGUGAGAUGAAAUACACAUUACAUAUCUCCAACAGAAUAUGGUAAUCAACAAUGUCAUUGAAGACCUAGGUCACAGCAAUGCAUGCCAUCCCUUAGGCUGUUAGUCAUGUUAUAAAAAUAUUGUCAGUUAUAGCUUAUUCAUGUUCUUCAUUUAAUGUUCUGACUAGAAUCAUUGUGACGUCUUCCUCACAGACAAUAGUCAUCAAGACACCCCAAUGAUAUACUUUUUAAUCAUGAUGUAUGCUGCCAAGUUAAAAUUUACAUAUGGAAGAAUGAUAUGAGGUUACCCCCCGGUAGCCAGUGUUUGUCCACCACCAUCCUGGCCCACAGGGAUGAUAUGAGGUUAACCCCCGGUAGCCAGUGUUUGUCCACCACCGUCCUGGCCCACAAGGAUGAUAUGAGGUUAACCCCCGGUAGCCAGUGUUUAUCCACCACCGUCCUGGCCCACAGGGAUGAUAUAAAGUUACCCCCCAAUAGCCAGUGUUUGUCCACCACCGCCCUGGCCCACAGGGAUGAUAUGAGGUUAUCCCCCGGUAGCCAGUGUUUGUCCACCACCGUCCUGACCCACAGGGAUGAUAUGAGGUUAUCCCCCUGUAGCCAGUGUUUGUCCACCACCGUCCUGGCCCACAGGGAUGAUAUGAGGUUAUGUCCCAGUUGCCAAUAUUAGCUGCAGUGCAGACUCCUCCAUCCCCCUGUAAGUGAGGAGUAUCAUCAUGAAGACCAGAAAUCAUUCAUAUCUCAGGGAGAGUGUGAUGUGGAGCAUGCCUUGUCUUGUGUCAUGUGUGUGUUGUAGUUCCUGCGUCAGGCCUUUGGUACAGCUGGUAAUGAAAAUAUAUUUACCCCUGACUGUUUCUGAUUUAAUUGCAUUGUGGAAUAUAUUGUUACUAAUAUUUCAAAGCAUUAAUUUUUAUUAGCAUAAUUGUUAUAGACAUUACAGAUUUGUUGUUUCAAGUUCUCUUUUUCUAAUGUGAUUUUCAAAAUCUGUUCAAAUAUUGGUGUACAGAUAUGGAUUAGUCUGUCAUUUAUCUAUGCAGAAUCCUCUCUUCAAAUUUGGAUGAAUGGCUUGAGUUUGCUUUGACUAAACUAUUUCUCAAUGUUCUUUUGUUUGCUAUGAGUAUUCAGCCAGCUGUAAUCAGAUAAGACAGUCGAAACGGUUAAAGUGGAUGUUUUGGUGGUACAGUUAAUGUCACAGCUGCUGACUGAGACACUUUCACAUGACAUUGUGGGGAUCGCCUCAUGUGUCUGGAGCAUGUUUACUUAUUACUUACUCUAAAGCUUUGACACAACCCCUCACUACGCAGUUUGUCUGUGGGUGCACCAGUUUUGCAGUGUCUAGUUCAGUGGGUCAAACAUAUAACACAUCAUCUACUUCAUAACAAUUAUUAAAUGUUUAUUCUGCUGCAUUCUAUGCUAAAUAUGGAGUUUGGCAAUAACGUUAGCUCAAAUUAUUAUGAAAAUGAUUUUAUUUGUUAAAAAAAAGUAUCUUUUAAAAAGUUAGCUUGUCUGAAGUGGUUUUUUAGCUCAACUUGUUCACAGAAAUCUCCAGAGCUAUGGCUUUUUUCAGCAGGUAGCACAUAUAGACAACAUGAUGCACAUAGAAAGUGGGAGGCAGGAGUAGAGGCUGGCAGCUUGUGGUUCACACUGAAGUGAAUGGUCAAUAUGUUCAAUAGCCAAGGAAUGAAUUCCCAGGUAUUAACUGUUCAGUAGCCAUCUGUUGUGGUUUCCAUAUUACACAUGGCUAAGUACAACAGCAGUUCCAAGAAAGGGGAGGUGCAUUGCAUCCAUUUAAAACCUGUUCAAGCUGACACAAAUACCUGUUUCGUGCUUGUUUAACUUUAACCAUUCAAGAGUAUUGUUUACAUGAAGUACAUCAGGUAUAAGUGUAUAUCCUUCCCUCAAGUAACACUGAAAGAUCUACAAACACUCAAUUUUGCUAUUGAUCACCAAGUUGUCAUGGAACACAUACAGUAUGUACUAAGCAGUAAGUAUACCUGUAACCAUGGUAACACUAGGAUCUUACAUAUUGCAUGAAUCAGUAGGAUGUUAUCAGCUUAUAGUAAGGGUGUUCACCUUGUAUAUAUUUUAUAGGGUCAACGAGUGCUGCAUUUAACAGUGUCAUAAUUUAUUGAAUGAAUGUGUAAUUGUCUUAUUAAUGUCAUGUGACAUGAUGCCAUACACAUUGUAUUUAUUGUCGCCAACAGAAUCAAUUCAUGUGUAGAUAUUCACCCAUUAAAUGGGAUAUACACAAA
rnacentral:misc_RNA from 1 species